GGUUAAGCGACUAAGCGUACACGUGAUGCCUAGCAG
rnacentral:rRNA from 1 species